AAGAGAGCUUGCUCUCUGGAUCAGUGGCGAACGGGUGAGUAACACGUGAGCAAUCUGCCCUUGACUCUGGGAUAAGCGCUGGAAACGGCGUCUAAUACCGGAUACGAGCUGUGAAGGCAUCUUCAACAGCUGGAAAGAACUUCGGUCAAGGAUGAGCUCGCGGCCUAUCAGCUAGUUGGUGAGGUAAUGGCUCACCAAGGCGUCGACGGGUAGCCGGCCUGAGAGGGUGACCGGCCACACUGGGACUGAGACACGGCCCAGACUCCUACGGGAGGCAGCAGUGGGGAAUAUUGCACAAUGGGCGCAAGCCUGAUGCAGCAACGCCGCGUGAGGGACGACGGCCUUCGGGUUGUAAACCUCUUUUAGCAGGGAAGAAGCGAAAGUGACGGUACCUGCAGAAAAAGCACCGGCUAACUACGUGCCAGCAGCCGCGGUAAUACGUAGGGUGCAAGCGUUAUCCGGAAUUAUUGGGCGUAAAGAGCUCGUAGGCGGUUUGUCGCGUCUGCUGUGAAAACUGGGGGCUCAACCCCCAGCCUGCAGUGGGUACGGGCAGACUAGAGUGCGGUAGGGGAGAUUGGAAUUCCUGGUGUAGCGGUGGAAUGCGCAGAUAUCAGGAGGAACACCGAUGGCGAAGGCAGAUCUCUGGGCCGUAACUGACGCUGAGGAGCGAAAGGGUGGGGAGCAAACAGGCUUAGAUACCCUGGUAGUCCACCCCGUAAACGUUGGGAACUAGUUGUGGGGACCAUUCCACGGUCUCCGUGACGCAGCUAACGCAUUAAGUUCCCCGCCUGGGGAGUACGGCCGCAAGGCUAAAACUCAAAGGAAUUGACGGGGACCCGCACAAGCGGCGGAGCAUGCGGAUUAAUUCGAUGCAACGCGAAGAACCUUACCAAGGCUUGACAUAUACGAGAACGGGCUAGAAAUAGUCAACUCUUUGGACACUCGUAAACAGGUGGUGCAUGGUUGUCGUCAGCUCGUGUCGUGAGAUGUUGGGUUAAGUCCCGCAACGAGCGCAACCCUCGUUCUAUGUUGCCAGCACGUAAUGGUGGGAACUCAUGGGAUACUGCCGGGGUCAACUCGGA
rnacentral:rRNA from 1 species